rnacentral:sRNA from 1 species
UUAUAGCCCGGAUUGCAGCGGAAAUCCUUUUUGGUAGCUGAGGCUGCUGAAGCCACCAAAAAAGAUUGCAGCGUAAAGCCGGUAGUGUC